CAUAAGGAUACACUGUUUGUCUAUGUCAACAGUUCGUUUUCUCCAAGCCCAGAUGAGCUGAUAAUUGACUUGUAUAAUAAUUUUGCAAUAGACGGGAAGCUUGUGGUAAACUAUGCUUUAUCGGCAGCGUGGGGUUAAAAGUUUGGAUUAGCAGGAAGAACCGAAGAAUCGAAUGGAUUGAAAAGGUCGUUUGAAAUUUGACCGUUUUACUGUGUAUAGCUGGAGUUGUAGUUGGUCAGUCAAAGAGGCACUAGCUCUCACAUAUGUUGAUGAUGAAAGUAAAGGUUCUUGCGAGACUGCCUUUUCUGGCAUUGAACUCUCCAAGUGCUCGUACGAAAGAAUCGUCAAAUGUUUAUAAUUUGUUUACUAAGGAGUAGGUUAGUUCUGAAAAAAUGUUUAGGAAAAAUCUGACGGUUGUGGUGUACUAACCAAAAGAAGGUCUAUCAAGUAUACCGUUUUGAUCUUUUUAUAGUGUAUCUCAUUCUUUUUGUGGUAUUGGGUUUUUAAUAUGUACUUUCUCUGCUCCAAAUUAAUUAAAGUUCUAGGUUUGUGCUAAUUUACAAAGUACAUUAACAUCUACAACACCAAAUUACUUGCAUUUGGUGUUUUUAAAAAUAUAUUUCCAUUUCAUAUAUAAUUGAUGUUGUAGAUCUUAGUUCAUUUUUUUAAGACUUGGUCAAACUUUAAAAAGAUUGAUUUAGAGCACCUGCAAAACUUCAAUUAAUUUGAAACAAAAGGAGAAAUAGGUAUACACUUGACAAAAGAUAGAUAUGCAUCUUGUAGAUCUUGGGGUAAAGGCAGAUGUCACACACUCACAUGCCUCUCUACUUAUUCAAAUGUUUCGACAGCUUGAUUUCCGCAUAAUUAAUUUCUCGUGAAACGUUUAACUUUCUAUUCACCUCCGUGGUUGCGUGUUACAUAUGCAAGGAUGAACUUGACAACUGUGCAAAAAGGAAAUAAACUUUAAAACAUCAAGAAAAUAACAAAUUCAUGAGGAAAAGGGGCAAGCCCAACGAUGUAUGCAGCCCCGUGCAAAAAAGAAUAGAUAACACAAGAACUCAAAAGGAAAAAUCUACAUGAAUCUUUGCACAAAUUCAAACAGUUAUAUUAACAAGUCCAUAUUACCAGUAGACAGGAGAAAAACCAUGUACUAGCAUCCAUGUCGCAGAUCUUGGGUCGCGGCCGGACAAAUUUGACCGGAUGCGGACGCCAAUAGGGUGUGUGUGUCACUCUCUCCCUCUCUGUAAAAAAUGUUGGGUGGCACACAUUCACACGUCUCUGCUUAUUAUUAUUGAAAUGUUGCGUCAGCAGGAUUCCCGCAUAAUUAACUUUCUCGUGAAGCGUUUAAACAAAUUACACUACUGCUACUAUCGAUGCCCGAUCUGGAUCUAACCAGCUGAGUUCAAAGAAAAUAUCUACUAUCAGCUCCGUGGAGGUGCCCGUCCCUAUAUCACACCCCCAUCACCCUGUUGGUGAACUCACUCCAGCAACCACAUCCCUUCUCCUGCCCCGGACUCCUGCAGCACCUGAAGCUCGCCUUCGCCACGCAUCUGCGCUUCUGCAGGGUACUACAUGAAGUGACCUAGAACACAUGGAAGGGGAUAAGUUCCAGGAAGAGAUCAAAUGCCUCAUUGAGGUGAAGCGCAAAAACAUCACACGGUUUCUAGGAUAUUGUGCCGACACACAAGGGAGAGUGGUAGACUUUGAGGGAAGCUUUGUAAUGGCAGAUGUACGACGACAGUUCCUCUGUUUUAAGUAUCGACACAAAGAUACGUACAGUGGAGUUGAAUGGAGAGAGCACUAUCAAAUAAUCAAAGGAAAUUGCAAGGGUUUAUGGUACCUUCACCGUAAUCAUAUUGUUCAUUUGGACCUAAAACCUGAUAAUAUAUUGUUGGAUGAUAAUAUGGUACCGAAAAUAGCUGACUUUGGUCUCUCAAAGUACUUUCGUGCCGGAUUAUCAUUUCAAAAUUUGGAUGAACAUCGGGUUAUUUGGCACCAGAAUUCUACGGUGGAAAACUCACAUUCAAGUCAGACAUAUACAGUUUGGGUGUUAUAAUCAUAGAGAUAUUAAUAUGUCAUAUGAAAUAUACCAAAGACUGCUCUGCUUUGAGUAUAUACCUAAAGGGUAUCUUUAUGAUUAUAUCACCGGUCACAUUCAAGUCAGACAUAUAAAGUUUGGGUGUUAUAAUCAUAGAGAUACUAACAUGACAUAUGGGAUAUACCAAAGAUUGCUCUGCUUUGAGUAUGUACCUAAAGGGAGUCUUCAUGAUUAUAUCACCGAUGCAUCUCGUGGACUUGAAUGGGGCAAGAGGUAUCUAAUUGUUAAAGGAAUUUGUGAGGGCUUAUAUUACCUUGAAGAAGAAAGUAUUAUUCACUUAGAUCUGAAACCAGCCAAUAUAUCGAUGGACAACAAUAUGUUGCCCAAAAUUACCGACUUUGGUCUCCCAAGAUGUAAGAUGUUAUGAUGAAAAUCAAAAUUGGAUCAAUUAAGCCGAUUAAGUGUCUCAAAGCUCAUUAAUGGUGGCUUUGCAGUGGUUUAUAAGCUGCAGGGAAUUCUUUAAAAUGGGGCAAUCGCUGUGAAGAAGCUUUCCAACACGUCUUAUAUUCAUGAUAGCGAAUUCUAGUGAGAGGUUGAAUGUUUGAUGAAGGCCAAGCACAAAAAGUACGGUUUAUGAGUUAUUUGGCUAUGCACAUGGGGAAAUGGCUUCCUACGAGGGAAAAAUUUCCAUGGCAGGUGUACAACAGAGGUUGCUCUGCUUUGAGUAUCUACCGAAAGGAAGUCUUUGUGACUAUAUGACCGAAUGCUUAUGGAUAUGAAUGGAGAGAGUGCUAUGACAUAAUCGAAGGAAUUUGUGAGGGUUUAAGUUAUCUCCACAAGAACCAUAUUGUUCACUUCAACUUAAAACCGACAAAUAUACUUUAUGGAAUAUACUAUGGUUCCUAAAAUAACUGACUUUGGUAUCUCAAGAUGUUUUGAUGAAACAAGGACUUGUUAUUACUUCAAAAGUGAUGGGAUUAGUGGAAUAUUUUUUUCUAGAAGUUCUUUUCAGUGGAAUAAUCACGUUCAAACCAGACAUAUACAAUCUUAGUCUAUAUAUCAAUAGUUAUGGAGAUAUUGAUUAUGAUGAAGAGGUAUUUUGAAGUUGAUUAUGUACUCAAAAUUUGGAGGAAUUGAUUGGACAGAUCACUGGGAGGAAGACAACUGGAACGAGUGAUGGAGUGCAUUGACACCGAGCUAGCGAGGAAACCAAGUCCUUAGCAUAUGAGCAAGCACCUCAGCCGCCGGAGGGGUCGAUGCUCGUCAACGUGGAUGCAGCAAUCUUCUCCCAAUCUGCAAGAGCGGGCUUUGGUCCGGUGAUACAUAAUCACCGGGGAAGGGUGCACAGGCGGUGAACAGAGGCUACUUUGAAUGAGUUCAAAUUCCUGAAGGAGCAGAAGCCAUGGCACUUCGUCAAGUCUUAAUCCUUGCCAGUAACACUGGUAUUAGGAAGAUCAUGGUAGGUUAACAAGAUCAAGAGUUUAGGUUUUGAUAGGUCCCCUACUGGAGCCAUAGUCCAUGAUAUGAAAAAAUGUGCCACAAAGUUUGUAUCUUGUACUUUUAUCCAUGUCAAUCGUUCUUGUAGUGAGGCAGCACAUGUUCUGGCUAAAUCGGCAGAGCAUGAUGUUUCGUCCUGUUGGCUUAAUGGUUUCCCUGAUGUAAUCAGGACCAUUAUCUGUAAUGAAUCAGUUAUGAAUGAAUAAGAGGGUGCAGCUGCCCAUUACCUCAAAAUAAA